rnacentral:rRNA from 1 species
GACGAACGCUGGCGGCGUGCUUAACACAUGCAAGUCGAACGGUAAGGCCCUUCGGGGUACACGAGUGGCGAACGGGUGAGUAACACGUGGGUGAUCUGCCCUGCACUUCGGGAUAAGCCUGGGAAACUGGGUCUAAUACCGGAUAGGACUCCUGGCUUCAUGGUUGGGGGUGGGAAGCGUUUGCGGUGUGGGAUGGGCCCGCGGCCUAUCGGCUUGUUGGUGGGGUAAUGGCCUACCAAGGCGACGACGGGUAGCCGGCCUGAGAGGGUGACCGGUCACACUGGGACUGAGAUACGGCCCAGACUCCUACGGGAGGCAGCAGUGGGGAAUAUUGCACAAUGGGCGCAAGCCUGAUGCAGCGACGCCGCGUGAGGGAUGACGGCCUUCGGGUUGUAAACCUCUUUCAGCACCGACGAAGCGCAAGUGACGGUAGGUGCAGAAGAAGGACCGGCCAACUACGUGCCAGCCGCCGCGGUAA